rnacentral:lncRNA from 1 species
UAUAUAUAUAUUCCUAGCCCUCAACACCUGAGACGUGAUUUUUUUAUUACCAUUCUCUCCAUGCAAGGAUGCAAGUUCCAUGAGGUCACUAAGUGAUUAUUGGCUCCCCAGAGUCUAGAAGUCUAGCACAGUAGACCAUCAAAUUAAAUGAAUGAAGGAAGGAAGAAAGGAAUCAUCUCCUUCUCUUAGAAGGCUUUUCUGCCCUCUGCCUCUCCUCAUUUAUCCAAGAUACUUCAACAACAGAGGAAAGCAGUUCAACGGUGUGACAAAGGGAGAGAUUUAUCUAAGAGUGUUGUGCAGACCUAGCCUGAACCUUACAAAGUCUCUGCCAGGACACCAUGGAGGGGGAAAAGGAUCUGGAAUAUCAGUGCAUGUUAAUUAUCUUGGAGGAGGGGUUGAACCCAAAUUUGGU